AUGCCAGUAAUAAGCAAUAUGCAAUCCAGAGAAAAGAAGCAAUUAGUUCUCUGCAUUGGUGAAAGGCUGCCCAGCUUCAGAAUGGAUGGUGAAGACUGUGGAUUCUUUUCCUUUGAGGUGGAACUGAGUCACAAAGACUCAAGCCAGAGAAACCACCUCCCAAAUAACAAAGAGGAGGGAACAGAAAACCACAAACACUUUCCUCAAUGAUACUAAGAGAUGCCCAGUACCUGAACCAACCAUCUUUGAGUUGCCAAAGAUGAGGAAGGCGAUGCUGGCACAGAGAAUUGUGACAAGAAGACAGCUAGUCCCAGAAAGGCUUGGAAUAACCACAGGAGAACUGAGCCAAAGUGGCUUCAGACUUAGGACCCAGGCAAAGUAGAACUUGGAGUAAGAUCUGGACGGAACACAGAGGAUUAAGUGACUGAUGAUAUCCCCAUCACUUCCCCCACUGGGUUCCCAGCAUGCCUACAGUCUGCUCCCCAGAGAAGAGGUGUCCACCUCAGAGGGAACCAUCCCAGGAGAAAAGACUCAUUGAGAUAGGUAUCUGAAGUUAGUUAUAUACUGACACCUCCACCAAAGUCCAGAUCUGUGUAUUUCUCCACCUAGAUUUUCCCUAAACAUCUCAAAAUCCAAAUCUCAGCUCUAUUUUCCCUCCUGAGGCUGCUCUUCAUACAGGUUUCCUAUCCUAAGGGCAAUCAUGCCAUCUAGGUGUUGCCUUGAGCCAAAAAAAAAAAAAAAAAACAAAAAAAAAACAAAAAACGAGUGUUCAUUGAUUCCCUCUCUCUUUCUCAUUGAUGCAGCCUGUUAAUUUUUACUGCUUGAGAAUCUUCUAUGUCUCUGUGUUCCUCACAACUCCUGCUUUAAUUUAUGUUACAGCAUCUCUCCCUGGGCCUACUACAAUGGUAACCUUGAACUAGUCUCCAACCUUUCAUCUGGCAUCAUUAAACCUAUCCUCUGCAGCCUGCAGAGUGCUCUAUCUAAAAUGAAAAUCUUAUUAUCAUCUCCAGCACCCUCCUUAGAACCUUUGGUGCUGCUGCCUGUUGCCUUCUCCUCACCAAUCAUGUCUCCUCCCUUAGCCCACAGCAAUGGUUCCAAAAUUCAAUAUGCAUCAGCAAAAAUUGGAUAGCAACCUCAAAAUGCAUAUUCCUGGGCCCCCCUCACCAAAGAUUUUAAUUCGACAAAUCACUCAGGCAGAGUAUAAUGUUCUUGGAUCACACUAAAAAACACUAGGCUAGAGAAUCCUAAAUUCCCUAAUAUGACAUAUUUGGUCAUCAGUGCCCUGACUUCUACCCACCAUUUGUCUUCUGACUUUCCAUUGUCUUGUGUUCCAGGGUAAUCCCGCUAUUAUUUCCCCUGAUCACCUACCAUUUUGUUUUAUGUCUUCAUAUAUGAGGCCCUGUCUGCCUUGCUCCAGGACUUCAGUGUCUAGUGCAGUUUCAGGUACAUGACACAGCAGUUCUUAACCCAGAGUAAAUGAAUCAGAAUCUGUGAAGUCCCUGAAAUCGAUAUGUGAUAUUUUGUACAUUUGAGAAUGUGUGUAUAUGUCAUUCGAUCUCUCAAAUUUCAUCAGAUUCUGAAAGUGGACCAUAAGUCU
rnacentral:lncRNA from 1 species